rnacentral:rRNA from 1 species
GACGAACGCUGGCGGCGUGCCUAAUACAUGCAAGUAGAACGCACAGUUUAUACCGUAGCUUGCUACACCAUAAACUGUGAGUUGCGAACGGGUGAGUAACGCGUAGGUAACCUGCCUGGUAGCGGGGGAUAACUAUUGGAAACGAUAGCUAAUACCGCAUAAUAUUGAUUAUUGCAUGAUAAUUGAUUGAAAGAUGCUAUUGCAUCACUACCAGAUGGACCUGCGUUGUAUUAGCUAGUAGGUGAGGUAACGGCUCACCUAGGCGACGAUACAUAGCCGACCUGAGAGGGGGAUCGGCCACACUGGGACUGAGACACGGCCCAGACUCCUACGGGAGGAAGCAGUAGGGAAUCUUCGGCAAGGGACGAAAGUCUGACCGAGAAACGCCGCGUGAGGGAAGAAGGUUUUCGGAUCGUAAAGCUCGGUUGUAAGAGAAGAACGGGUGUGAGAGUGGAAAGUUCACACUGUGACGGUAGCUUACCAGAAAGAGACGGCUAACUACGUG